rnacentral:rRNA from 1 species
UACAGAGGUCUCAAGCGUUGUUCGGAUUCAUUGGGCGUAAAGGGUGUGUAGGUGGCGCGCUAAGUCGGGUGUGAAAUUUCGGAGCUUAACUCCGAAACUGCAUUCGAUACUGGCGUGCUUGAGGACUGGAGAGGAGACUGGAAUUUACGGUGUAGCAGUGAAAUGCGUAGAUAUCGUAAGGAAGACCAGUGGCGAAGGCGGGUCUCUGGACAGUUCCUGACACUGAGACACGAAGGCCAGGGGAGCAAAACAGG